rnacentral:rRNA from 1 species
AGCAGCCGCGGUAAUUCCAGCUCCAAUAGCGUAUAUUAAAGUUGUUGCAGUUAAAAAGCUCGUAGUUGAAUUUCGGGGUUAGUAGGUUGGUCAUGCCUCUGGUAUGUACUGGUCUCACUGAUUCCCCCUUCCUGAUGAGCCGUAAUGCCAUUAAUUUGGCGUUGCGGGGAAUUUGGACUGUUACUUUGAAAAAAUUAGAGUGUUUAAAGCAAGCUAACGCUUGAAUACAUUAGCAUGGAAUAAUGAAAUAGGACGUUCGAUCCUAUUUUGUUGGUUUCUAGGAUUGACGUAAUGAUUAAUAGGGAUAGUUGGGGGCAUUAGUAUUCAAUUGUCAGAGGUGAAAUUCUUGGAUUUAUUGAAGACUAACUACUGCGAAAGCAUUUGCCAAGGAUGUUUUCAUUAAUCAAGAACGAAAGUUAGGGGAUCGAAGACGAUCAGAUACCGUCGUAGUCUUAACCAUAAACUAUGCCGACUAGGGAUCGGAUGAUGUUAAUUUUUUAAUGACUCAUUCGGCGCCUUACG